rnacentral:rRNA from 1 species
AACGAACGCUGGCGGCAGGCUUAACACAUGCAAGUCGAGCGCCCCGCCAGGGGUGCGGCAGACGGGUGAGUACCGCGUGGGAACGUACCUUUUGGUUCGGAACAACUCCGGGAAACUGGAGCUAAUACCGGAUAAGCCCUAACGGGGAAAGAUUUAUCGCCGAAAGAUCGGCCCGCGUCUGAUUAGCUAGUUGGUGAGGUAACGGCACACCAAGGCGACGAUCAGUAGCUGGUCUGAGAGGAUGAUCAGCCACACUGGGACUGAGACACGGCCCAGACUCCUACGGGAGGCAGCAGUGGGGAAUAUUGGACAAUGGGCGCAAGCCUGAUCCAGCCAUGCCGCGUGAGUGAUGAAGGCCUUAGGGUUGUAAAGCUCUUUUGUCCGGGAAGAUAAUGACUGUACCGGAAGAAUAAGCCCCGGCUAACUUCGUG